rnacentral:lncRNA from 1 species
UGAAAGCGUACUGUGGAAGGGAGUGUCUGGUCUCAAAAGCAUGGCUCUUCCUAGUUGCUAAUUUAAUUGGAGCCCCCCCCUUUUUUUUUCUUCUAGACCAUUCCUUCAGAAGAUGAAUAAGUGUCUGCUGCCAGUGCUGUCCUUGCUUAGCUUGGGAAGCCCUUUGGAGAUGGGCAUGAAAGGUCCUCAUUGUAGAGACCCUGAUCUGUUUGAGUUCAAACUGUUGAAGAAAUGCCAGGCAUAAUGACUGCCUUCUUCAACGAGGUGAAUUUUCACUCCUACCUUUAGGUAAAUAAAGGAAACUGGAAAAGUUUGGUAUGAGAAAUGGAAGGACAGUGUUACAGAGUAGGAGCAAGA